rnacentral:rRNA from 1 species
UGGGGAAUAUUGGACAAUGGGCGAAAGCCUGAUCCAGCCAUGCCGCGUGUGUGAAGAAGGUCUUCGGAUUGUAAAGCACUUUAAGUUGGGAGGAAGGGCAGUAAGCGAAUACCUUGCUGUUUUGACGUUACCGACAGAAUAAGCACCGGCUAACUCUGUGCCAGCAGCCGCGGUAAUACAGAGGGUGCAAGCGUUAAUCGGAAUUACUGGGCGUAAAGCGCGCGUAGGUGGUUCGUUAAGUUGAAUGUGAAAGCCCCGGGCUCAACCUGGGAACUGCAUCCAAAACUGGCGAGCUAGAGUAGGGCAGAGGGUGGUGGAAUUUCCUGUGUAGCGGUGAAAUGCGUAGAUAUAGGAAGUAACACCAGUGACGAAGGCGACCACCUGGGCUCAUACUGACACUGAGGUGCGAAAGCGUGGGGAGCAAACAGG